GGGCGAUUAGCUCAGGUGGUAGAGCGUCCCUCUGAUAAGGGGAAGGUCUCAAGUUCGAGUCUUGAAUCGCCCACCU
rnacentral:tRNA from 1 species